GAUCGCCUACGGGACGCAGCAGUGGGGAAUGUUGCGCAAUGGGCGAAAGCCUGACGCAGCGACGCCGCGUGAGGGAUGAAGGUCUUCGGAUCGUAAACCUCUGUCAGCAGGGAAGAACGGUCACCGUGCUAAUCAGCAGUGAAUUGACGGUACCUGCAAAGGAAGCACCGGCUAACUCCGUGCCAGCAGCCGCGGUAAUACGGAGGGUGCGAGCGUUAAUCGGAAUUACUGGGCGUAAAGCGCUCGUAGGCGGUAUGUUAAGUCAAGGGUGAAAUCCCCGCGCUCAACGUGGGAACUGCCUUUGA
rnacentral:rRNA from 1 species